UUCAGCCACAUUUGACGUGGUUCGCUCGGCUCCCGCUUUUUGCCAACAUUUUCGUAUGUUUUUCGAGUGUGUACCCCUGAACUUUCUACAUUUUCGGAUCCGUGAAGUCAAGAGGAACACGCUGAUACCCGACUUUUGUGGAUUUCGUGUGCAUCUGAUUCCCGGCGCCAUCUGUGUAACAACGAUCCUAUCAAGACCCACACGUGUAAAGCCGGCGACCCCAGCACCGUCAUCACUGCAUCGCAUGCAGCGCCGCCUACAGAGGGAUCCUGCCUUAUAAGCGACUGCCCUGGAACGGCGAUCAUCACUUAGGCAGCAGUGGUUGCGGCUUGCGAACCACUUCUAACCAUUCUCUGCAUAUUUGUGCAGCCUCUCGCACAAAUUCAUGCUGUCGUGGAGCUUACCGCAAAACUGCUUGAACAAGCAAGACCUUGAAGGCAGAGAAGAAUCACUGAACCCGCUGAAAGCAUCGUCGGAGACGUUCAACGUGUAACGAUGUAUGCGCAUCGUGCUUCGUCUUCGAGCAUGUCAAAGCCUAAAUGGCUUGUGUGACUAGGCCCGGCAGCGUC